CCGGAGAUGCUGAAAUCAAGAAGGCCUUCCCAGAGGAGGUGCUGAAGACCCAAAGGCUUGCUAGCACACAGCCAGGGACAGCCUGGGGGAGGCUGAAGACACAGAAUGACAGCCAGCCCUGUGAUCCUUCUUGGCGAUCAGCAUGGGGACAUCUGGAUGUCUGCCUGGGACCACGUGACCCUCUAGGGUAACGACUGCUGUCUGCUAAGCCCCUGAGGCUCGGGGUACCUCGCAGCAUCCAGAGAGGAUUCCCGAGGCCUCUGUGACCUGGAGCUGCUCUGAUUCUCAACGAAUAUGAGCUUGGCCCUCGCUGCCCACCUGCCGAUUCCUGGGACACCAUCCGUGGUUGCCCCCUGGCCCCAGGGCCAUCUUCUGGGGGCUCUGGGUGAGAGAGGGAAGAGAGGGCUCCCAUCGGUACAAACUGGGGCUCCCUUGUCUGCCAGAGUGGACCCCCUGUGCUGCGGAGCCCUAGGCCACAGAGUGGGUGGGACGGGGCUCUAUGAGUGAGCAGCCAGCAACAUGGGCGCUAAGCAACUCCCCUGGGGUAUCAUGUACAUGUUUAAAGCUGGAAGCCGUCAGCCUCCCACAUUCCUGUCUCCUGCCCUAAUUCCUCUUACUGGCUGUAUCUUCCAUUAUACAACUUAUUCUAUCGUCUGUCUCCCCCACUGGAAUGUAGGCCCCAAGAAGGCCAAGAUGUUUGUCUGUUUUGUUCCCUGAUGCGUCCCUUAGCGCUUCUAACAGUGCCUGGCACAUAGUAGUUGCUCAGCGAAAAUCAGUCGACUGAGUGAAUUCUCUCUUCCAGGAGAUGCAAUAAUAACUCACACGUUUACUGAG